CAAGGGUCACACAGCUCCAUCAAUCCACAAAGGUUGCUAACAGCAAAUAAAAGAGACGAAGGAAAAGGCAGGCCCUGCUUUGAAGCACUAGGAAGAAAGAGUCUUUGAACGGCUGCAAACACCACAAACCCUUUCACCCAAAUCAGAGAGAGCAGCCAGGGGAGUCGGCAGAAGAAGCCAUAAGUGGGGAGAUGUUACUCCAUUUGGGUUCCAUUCCCACUGAAGCUUUGCACAGGGAAUUCAGGGCAGGGCAGACGUGACAAAAGCUCAACGAGUUGGCCUCGCCACAGCCAACUUUCAAAGAGUGUCGGAGACUUCCAACAGAGACCCCUGAAGACCAGAGCUCUGUAAGAACCCUACAGGUCUUCAGUGCCAGAUUGGGACUGCAUGUAUUGAAUAACUAGUACAUUCUCGAACUCUCCAGUAUGAGACAGCCAUUACUGGACGACCCAGACAGAAACUUGCAAGCAAUUACCAGUGAAGUCUUGCAAAAUAAUUCCCAUUAUUCAACCAAAUCAGGAAUACAGAGUUCAUUUUAUUUAAAGCUGGAAUUUGCCACCCUUGCAGUGAAGAAAAGUGAACGUGGGAGAAAUGGAGGCUUUUGAAAAUAAAUAAUCUAAGAGGCCCAGCAGGGUCACAAGCUCCAAGACUCCUAGAAGAGGACCUGGACUUCCUAUUAGCUGCCACCAUUACUGAAAAUGCCUCAGCUCCUUUAUGAAUCCAUUCCACGUGGCUCCUGCCCCAGGAGCCGAAGGCAGGCUUCCUCAGAAAAGCUGAGAACGUCUGGCACACCAGGAAUGAAAGGAGUGGUACCCUGGCUACACUAUGAAGCUGGCAUGAUUUAAGUGCUACCUGGACCCGUUGAUACCCCUGUAUUCAAAGCCCAACUCCUUUAAGGUGCAGAAAUCCUACCGCCCGUGCGCCCUGGGCGCGCCGCCGGGCCCCGUGCCGGUUCCCCGGGAAUGCGACCGUCAGGUGAGUUUCUCCUUCAGAUGCAAGAAGAGAGAUCGCAGGAAUCCAUGCCCAGUUUCAGUCUAACUCGGUCCACAGGCAGAG